CUCCCAAGUAGCUGGGAUUACAGGCAUGUGCCACCAUGCCCAGAUGAGCCCUCAAUGGACUGAACGAUGCUCACCCACACUGUGAGGGCUGGUCUUCUUUAUUCAAUCCACUGACUUAAGUGCUGAUCUCUUCUGGAAACACCUUCACAGACACACCCAGAAAUAAUGUUCUACCAGCCAUGGGCCUGUUACUUAGCCCAGUCAAGUUGACACAGAAAAUUAGCUAUCACAACAUCUGUGUGUGUAUAUACAUAUGUAUUUGCAUGUGUGUGUAUAUAUGUGUAUAUAUAUUCAUGUGUGUGUAUAUGUGUGUAUGUUGUGACUGGGUGUAUACACAUCCAUAUACAUAAAAUAUUUCAAUAUAUUAUAUUUUGUAUAUAUGUUAUAUAUGUUAUAUAUUAUAUAGUAAUAUAAAAUAUAUUUAAGACAUUUUUAUAAUCUAUAUUGUUAUACAUUAUGUAAAUAUAUGUAUAUAUAAAUUAUAUACUUAUAAAUGUUAUAUGUUAUGUAUAUUAUAUAUGCUAUAUGUAUUAUAUGUUAUGUCAUAUAUAAUUUAUUGAAUAUAUUUAUAGUAUAUGAAACAUAUAUAGUCUGUCUUCUUGGAAAAGCAUACAAACAAUGAGACUCCAGAUCCAGAUUUCUUUUUUUUUUUGAGACAGAGUCUUACUCUGUCACCCAGGCAGGAGUGUGGUGGUGUGAUCUUCGCUCACUGCAACCUCUGCCUCCUGAGUUCAAGCAAUUCUCCUGCCUCAGCCUUCGGAGUAGCUGGGAUUACAGGCAAGCACCACUACGCCUGGCUAAUUUUUGUAUUCAGAUCCAGAUUUCUAAAUGUCUUUCUCCAGUUAAAAAAAAAAUAGGGCUCCUGGGAGAAAUGGCUGAUUUCUGGGCUAGGGUAGGGAAAGUAAAAGAUGAACCUGGAAAUAUCUUGUGGUAUCACAAAUUAAGUGUUCUGAAAAUAAGUGCUGAAAAAAUUAUUGUGACAUGUCAAAUGGAUUCAGAAGCCAACAUGAACAAGCUCCCACUGACCAAAUCUGAAACAAUUACAGCAAAUAAAUAAAUAAAUAACGAUGGCAAUGGAUCAUAGCACAUAGAAUAAAAUAAGAAUUUGAGUCCAUACUGAUAUAAUUGAAUAAUAAAGAGAAGAAAGACACCUUCUUUAUAGCAAGAUUCCAAUUACCUACAUGUAGUAAAAAUGAUGCAAUUAGAAAGUCAGCAUUUGGCAACCAUCACAGUAAUAAUUAUUUCAGGCAAGAAUCAAUGAAUGCUAAAUCAGUAAAAGUCUGAUGAGAAAUAAUUAUAUACUCUUCAAUUUUUUCUCCACAAAAUACUUAAUUGCAAAUAAUAACUUUGCGGAAGAAAAACCUGACAGACACUAUUUUAGCCAAGUGAUCAAAACUAACAUCACUGAUAUUGGGACAAAUAACACCUAGUUCCUCCUGAUAGGAUACAUUGAAAAGAACUCUGUCAUUUCUGUGUGAUUGUUGCCAAAAAUCAUAAUCUGAAUCAAAAUAUGAGGAAGUAUCCGAAAAAAGACAACUUGACCGUCAUCCUACAAAAUACCUCUUCCAGAGUGGAAAGGUAGUGAAAAUCAAGUAGAAGAAGGGAAAUAGAAAUUUAAAAAAUUAAGAAAUGAAAUAAUAAAGGUAAGUGUAAAAAUUAAAAUAGAAAACAAAAAUAAUAGUGAAAAUGAAAUCAAAAGCUGGGUCUUUAAAAAAAAUAAAAUUGAUAAACUUCCAUUUAGAUGGGUAAAGAAUAAAGAGAUAAGACAGAAAUUGCCACCCAUGAACUUUUAGUAAUGCAACAGAAUACAUCACUCACUGCAGAGCAUAAUCAUUGGAAGAAAAAUAUGAGAAUAUGGCAGGCAACUUUAUGCCAAUAAAUUCAAUAAACUGGGGAUCACGAUUAUGAUCAACAUUCACUUUUGAAAGGGCCAUGGAGGAAAAUGAACCAGGAAGAUCCUCCCUGGGGCAGAGCUACCACUGGAUGAAAUGAACAAUUCAUUGAAAGACACAAAUUACCAAAACUAACCCAAUAAGCAAUAUAAAACUUGAAUUGCCCUAUUAAUUCAAGAAAUUGCAUUUUUAAUUAAAAAUCUUUCCAAAAAGAAAAAUUCAUGCCUAAAUGGCUUCACUUGUAAACUCUAGCAUUUAAGGAAGAAAUAAAACCAAUUGUACACAAACUCUUUGAGAAAAUAGAAAAUACUUCCAAACUCAUUUCAUGAGGCCAAAUAUAUUAAAAAACUACAGACAAAUAUCCCUCAUGAAUAUAGACACAAAUAUACUUAACAAAAUUUUAACAAAACAAAUUAGUAUAUGUAAAAGAAUACUUACUAUACAUCAUGAUGGAAUGAGGUUUAUCUGGGGAGUGAAAGGUUGGUUUGACAUCCAAAAAUUAAUCAAUGUAAUUCACCAUAUUAGAAUAAAGAAGAAAAUAUAAUCAUUUCAAUAAAUGCAGGAAAAGCUUUUUGUAAAGUUCAACACUAAUUUGUGAUUUCAAAAAAUCUAUCAGCAAACUAAGAAUAAAAGAAACAUUUCUCUUAAUCUAAUUAAGGGCAUCUUCAAAAACCUACAUCUUUCACUGUACUCAAUAUUGAAAGCCUCAAUGCUUUCUACCUAAGAUAAGGAACAAGGCAGGGAUAUCUAUUCUGCCAUUUCUGUUCAACAUUAUACUGGAAGUUUUAGCCAGUGCAGUAAGGCAAGAAAAAGAAAUGACAGUCAAUAAAUUGGAAAGGGAGAAGAAAGUCGUUUUUAUUGGUAGAUGACAUGACCAAGUAUUAAUACAUAGAAAGCUUAAAGAGUCUACUAGAACUAAUAAGUGAAUUUAUUGAGGUCAGAAUACAAUGUUAAUGUAUAAAAAUUAUAAUUUUAUGUAUUAGCAAUGAACAAUUAGAAAAUGAAUUUCGAAAACAACUUCAUUUCCAACAGCAUCCAAAAACAUGUUAGAGAUAAAUUUUACAAAACAUGGAAGAUAGUUUCUUUUCCUGUGCAGAAGCGCUUUAGUUUAAUUAGAUCCCAUUUUUCAUAAAAAAAGAAUGAGAUCAUGUCCUUUGCAGGGACAUGAAUGAAGCUGGAAGCCAACAUUCUCAGCAAACUAACACAGGAACGGAAAACCAAACACCACAUGUUUUCACUCAUAAGUGGGAGUUCAACAAUGAGAACAGAUGGACACAGGGAGGGGAACAUCACACACCAGGGCCUGUCAGGGAGUGGGGGGCAAGGAGAAGGAGAGCAUUAGGACAAAUACCUAAUACAUGCGGGGCUUAAAACCUAGAUGACAGGUUGAUGGCUGCAGCAAACCACCAUGGCACAUAUAUGCCUAUGUAACAAACCUGCAUGUUCUGCACAUGUAUCCCAGAACUUAAAGUAACAUUUUUUAAAAACGGAAGAAUUCUAUUUAAAAAAAAAAAACUAUAAAUUUUGCUGAGAGAAAUUACAGACUUAAGUAAAUGUUAUUAACAUCAUUUUCGUGGGUUGGAACACUCAAUAUUGUUAAGAUAGCAAUUCUCCACACAUCAAUUUAUAACUCCAAUAGAUAUUUUUAAAAAGUGAUUCCAAAUUUAUAUUAAAAUGAAUUGCCUCUCUUAAACCUCCCUUAUAAUUUUUUUAAAAGAUUUCAGAAGACUAAACACUAUAUUACACAGACUCCAUUGAAGCUAGGAGUCUAGGAGAAAAUUUGAUCUACAACGUAACAAGCAGUUAUGUGAUAUUUAUUUGGAGGUCAGAAUUAAGGUGUAGGUCAACUUCCUACUGCUGCUUCUAUUUCCAGCAAGAUAAGAUCAGCCACAGGUGAUUGUGGUGGUCUUUUUCUACUUUCAUUUAUCUAGUCAUCAACUUUAUGGGAAUAAAAAUCUGCGGUAGUGUGUCUGGAAUUGCUGGGUUCUUGGUCUCGCUGACUUCAAGAAUGAAGCCGCAGACCCUCACGGUGAGUGUUACAGUUCUUAAAGAUGAUGUGUCUGGAGUUUCUUCUUACUGGUGGGUUUGUGGUCUCGCUGACUUCAGGAUUGAAGCUGCAGACCUUCACAGUGAGUGUUACAGCUCUUAAAGGCGGCGCGUCUGGAGUUGUUUGUUCCCUUCAGUGGGUUCGUGGUCUCGCUGGCCUCAGGAAUGAAGCUGCAGACCUUCGUGGUGAGUGUUACAGCUCAUAAGGGUGGUGCGGACCCAAAGGGUGAGCAGCAGCAAGAUUUAUUGUGAAGAGCAAAAGAACAAAGCUACCACACAGUGGAAAAGGACCCAACUGGGUUGCCGCUGCUGGCGGGGGCAGCCUGCUUUUAUUCCCUUAUCUGGCCCCACCCACAUCCUGGCGAUUGGUCCAUUGUACAGAGAGAUGAUUGUUCCAUUUUACAGAGAGCUGAUUGGCCCAUUUUACGGAGAGCUGAUUGUUCUGUUUUGACAGGGUGCUGAUUGGUGCGUUUAGAAACCUGGAGCUAGACAGAGUACUGAUUGGUGCAUUUACAAUCCUUUAGCUAGACACAAAAGUUCUCCAAGUCCCCACUAGAAUAGGUAGACACAGAGCACUGAUUGGUGUCUUUACACACCUUGAGCUAGACACAGAACGCUGAUUGGUGCAUUUACAAACCUUUAGCUAGACAUUAAAAUUCUCCAAAUCCCCACCUGACUCAGGAGACCAGCUGGCUUCUCCUAGUGGAUCCUGCCCUGGGCAGAGCUGCCCGCCAGUCGCACGCUGCGGCGUGGGCACUCCUCAGCCCUUGGGCAGUCGAUGGGACCAGGCGUGGCAGAGCAGGGGGCAGCACCCAUCUGGGAGGCUCAGGCCACGCAGGAGCCCACCGGUAGGGGGGCUCAGGCAUGGUGGGCUGCAGGUCCCGAGCCCUGCCCCGCAGGGAGGUGGCUGAGGCCUGGGAGAAUUUGAGCGCGGCACGGGCGGGCCGGCAGUGCUGAGGGACCUGGCGCACCCUCCACAGCUGCUGGCCCGGGUGCUAAGCCCCUCACUGCCCGGGGCUGGCAGCACCAGCCGGCUGCUCUGAGUGUGGGGCCCGCUGUGCCUUACCCACCCAGAACUGGCGCUGGUCUGCGAGCGCGGCAUGCAGCCCCGGUUCCUGCCUGCGCCUCUCCCUCCACACCUCCCGGCAAGCAGAGGGAGCCGGCUCCGGCCCGGCCAGCCCAGAGAGGGGCUCCCACAGUGCAGCGGCGGGCUGAAGGGCUCCUCAAGCAUGGCCAGAGCGGACACGGAGGCCGAGGAGGCGCCGAGAGUGAACGAGGGCUGCUAGCACGUUGUCACCUCUCAGUAGGAGAGCGAUUGUAGCAGCAGCAGAUUCCUGAACUCCAUGAUUUCGAUGGUGUGAUCCUGAAGUCAGUUGUUCAGAGGCAGUUCUCUAACAUUUCCAGCUUUCUUUCAAAGAAACUAAGAGGGAUUUUUGUUUUCUUCACUGAAAUUUGGCUAAUCCAAUAUUCCACAACUCUUAACUAUUUUUAUUUCAGUUUCCUUCCCCUUAGCUAAUCAAUUAAGUUAAUCCACUAAGUUCAUCAGUGCCUUCCAGUCCACUGAUUCUCUCUCAACAUUCACUUUUGAAAGGGCCAUGGAGGAAAAUGAACCAGGAAGAUCCUCCCUGGGGCAGAGCUACCACACUAGAGGCACACAGUAUUGAGUAUAAUGAGACUUACAGAGAAGAAUAUAGCAAUCUGGGGAAGCAGACCACACUUACUGAAAGUAGCACUGCAGAAGUAGUGUUUAUUAAUUUAGAUUGUAAUUUGAAAUUGCCACAUUAUUCAUUUCUAAGAUUUCAAAUUGCUUUAUAUCUGACAGUUUGUACUUCAGACCUGCCUAUUUUUGUUUUACAGGUCCUAUUUAGUUACUAAUGGAUAUUGAUCCUUUAUUUCUCAGAUUUGUUUUGAUAUGUUUAUCACAUUUUUCUAUUAAGAGAAAUUCCACUUAGAGUCAGUUCCUUUCCAAAGUUGAUUUUGUUGGCUCUCUCUCAUGGCAUUGCAUUUCUUCACAUUUUACAGUUGUGAUUUGCAAGUUUUUUAAGUAGACUUUUUAGUUUGUUUCAUUCUUUGGUAGAUUGUAUUAAUGUUUCUAAUUCUUUACUCCUUCCCUUUUACAGAAUUAUAACUGGACAUCUUUUGCCAGGUGACUUUUCAGUGCCUUCCACUAUAGUAGAUGGAAUAUACUUCCCCACUCCAUUGAGUCCAUUUUUUGUUGGCUAACCUGUAGUUUUAAGAUUGUAAUUUUUUUAAAUCUAGUUACCUUGAUUGCUUUUUAGAGAGCUAUUAGUCCCAAUAACUUAGACCACCAUUAUUUAAAAAUGGAAUUCCUAACCACAAUGUGUGCACCUCAUCAUAGGAAGGAACACAAAUGGGGGAGUAGAAGAAAACAGAAAUGUAUUAAUAGGCGACAGUGAGUACUUCAGCUUUAUGUGUAAUGUUUUAUUUCUUGUAUUACAAAGUAAAAGAUAUGAAGCAUUUGACUAAAAAUGUUAAUUUAUAUAAUUUGAAUGAUGGGUACAUGGGCAGUUGUUAUAUUUAUAUAUACUUUUAUGUAUUCUAAAUUUUUUUCUCAAAAUAAAAAAGAGAAACAGUCAAGGGUUA
rnacentral:lncRNA from 1 species